CCAUGAUGUCCUUGGUCCUCUGAAGACUAAGGGAAAACAACAACAAUAUGAUAUUGGGCAGAGACCUAGAGCUAGAAAGGACCUUAGAGGACAUCUCCUGCACCUCCAUUUUACAGAUCAAGAAACUGAGGCCCAUAGAAGUUUGCCUUUCCAUUGGGUCCACAGUGCUAGGCACACGAUGAAGAAACUGAGAGAUCUGACCUCAAGGCUCAUUAAUACUCCAUCAGCCUAAUCUAGUCAAUCAGCAGAGCAGAGAAGAAGCCCCUUCAGGACAGAAUAGCCCAAACCCACAGAUCCUGCAAAUAAUCAGAGGAGCAACAUUCCAGCCAAUGACAGGGGGCAAAGAAGGAAAAAAAUAUGAGUAAACAGCAGAAAAAGAAAAAAUAAAUUAUAAUUGACAGCUUCUAUCCA
rnacentral:lncRNA from 1 species